GGACGAGUAGCUCAGAAGGUUUGCAUUGUGCUCAGUCAGGUAGAGCAAUCUGUUCGACAGAUGUGUCGUUGGUUCGAAUCCAACCUUGUCCG
rnacentral:tRNA from 1 species